UUUUCUUUCCAAUAUACAAAUCCAAAAGCUUCACAAAAAGUACCCAUUUUUCCAGAAUAUCUCCUACACCUAUCAUUUUCAGAAAGUACCAAUUCAACACAACAUCAAUGUAAAGUGGGUGCAAUCUGCACAAACACGCCUAUGUUCUAUACAUGAGUAAGUAAAUUUGUAAGCAACACCAACAAGUUAAUCUACAAAAUUGAAUUUACACAUUAAUUUCCCUUUAUUUCCUAUGCUCUUCAAUCUGCACAAUCACGCCUCCACGGAAUACGGAAACAGCUCGGAUGAACAACAC
rnacentral:lncRNA from 1 species